AGCACUAUUUUUAAACCUGUUGGUGGAUUUUCCUGACCGCCGUGGGUUACGCUGUAGUGCAAAAGAAUCUCCUGGCUCUUCAGAGCGUGGCUGACCUCGCUCUGUUCAGCCCGUGCUCCUCUGAAGCCGAGGAACACAA
rnacentral:snoRNA from 1 species